AGAGUUUGAUCAUGGCUCAGGACGAACGCUGGCGGCGUGCCUGAAUACAUGCAAGUAGAACGCUGAAGACUGGUGCUUGCACUAGUCAGAUGAGUUGCGAACGGGUGAGUAACGCGUAGGUAACCUACCUCAUAGCGGGGGAUAACUAUUGGAAACGAUAGCUAAUACCGCAUGACAAUUAAGUACUCAUGUACUAAAUUUAAAAGGAGCAAUUGCUUCACUAUGAGAUGGACCUGCGUUGUAUUAGCUAGUUGGUGAGGUAACGGCUCACCAAGGCCACGAUACAUAGCCGACCUGAGAGGGUGAUCGGCCACACUGGGACUGAGACACGGCCCAGACUCCUACGGGAGGCAGCAGUAGGGAAUCUUCGGCAAUGGGGGCAACCCUGACCGAGCAACGCCGCGUGAGUGAAGAAGGUUUUCGGAUCGUAAAGCUCUGUUGUUAGAGAAGAACGGUAAUGGGAGUGGAAAAUCCAUUACGUGACGGUAACUAACCAGAAAGGGACGGCUAACUACGUGCCAGCAGCCGCGGUAAUACGUAGGUCUCGAGCGUUGUCCGGAUUUAUUGGGCGUAAAGCGAGCGCAGGCGGUUAUUUAAGUCUGAAGUUAAAGGCCGUGGCUCAACCAUGGUUCGCUUUGGAAACUGGAUAACUUGAGUGCAGAAGGGGAGAGUGGAAUUCCAUGUGUAGCGGUGAAAUGCGUAGAUAUAUGGAGGAACACCGGUGGCGAAAGCGGCUCUCUGGUCUGUAACUGACGCUGAGGCUCGAAAGCGUGGGGAGCAAACAGGAUUAGAUACCCUGGUAGUCCACGCCGUAAACGAUGAGUGCUAGGUGUUAGGCCCUUUCCGGGGCUUAGUGCCGCAGCU
rnacentral:rRNA from 1 species